GGAGCGAGUGCAGGAGCUUCUGUCAGAGCUCCAAGAUGCAGCAAAUCUACACACACAGCAACGAGCACUUUGAGAUCUUUACCACCGUCCUCGCUCCACAAGGGAGGUAUCGCUACAGAGCAGAAGCUGAGAAGAUGGUAGCGGUGCACAGCUACAGACCCCACUGGCCAGAUGAGCUGGAGCUGUCUCCAGGUGACGUCAUCCUGGUGCUGUCCAAACAUGAGGAGGAGAGGUGGUUUGGGCGGCUGCAGGGUGGGCAGCAGGGAUACUUCCCCGCCUCAUGUGCGAUGGAGCUGAGCCAGGUGAAUCUGCCUCCCCAAGGCCUACGGAGGAGUGUAUCUCUGAGGACCUCGGCCAGGGGCUGUGGAUAUGGAAAUGGACACAUUCUACAGGCACUCAGGAGGGGGAGCAGAGCAGGAGGAGGAGGAGGAGGAGGAGGAUUGGGGCUGGAUGGGAGCCAGGGUGAGCGCGAGGGCCCCUUCCUGGUGUGGAGGCCCCAGACCCCUGUGCCUCAGCCUGUUGCCUCUCAGCCCCAGAUACACAGAUCUCCAAGCUUGCUGCACAGGAUUUUGUCCAAGUGCUGGAAAAAGAGUGAAUGCCAGGGAGCCACCAAUGGCGCCUUCGAGGGCGACUAAGAAGCCCUUUUCUUUGUCUUGGUGGCAAAGCUGAGCUGGCUUUGGUGAAAGAUACUGUAGAUGUGCAAAUACCCUGAUGAGGACCAAAAAUAUUCCUCACUUGUUUCUAUGAGGUCCAAAAAUCUGAAUCUAUGCACCCCAAUUAGUGAUGUCACAAUUACUGAUGGGGGGGGCGGGGUCACAAGUGCAACAGAAAGAAUGAAUGUUUCUGCCAAGACUGAAUGUUAGACAUGCUUCACAGUCACUGCUGUGAUGUGUGACAUAUAUUAUUCCAUGAAGCAGUAAGUGAUGCUUUAAGAUGAUGUAAUUUAGCUUUUUUGCUAUGCUCAUGUCAUUUGCUAAUAUGUAUAGCCUACUGUAUAUAUAUGUAUGUGACUGCAC
rnacentral:lncRNA from 1 species